rnacentral:rRNA from 1 species
GAUGAACGCUAGCGGCAGGCCUAACACAUGCAAGUCGAGGGAGAAGCCCUUCGGGGCAGAAACCGGCGCACGGGUGCGUAACGCGUAUGCAACCUACCUUUCACAGGGGGAUAGCCCGAAGAAAUUUGGAUUAAUACCCCAUAAUAUUAUUGGAUGGCAUCAUUUGAUAAUUAAAAUUACGAUGGUGAAAGAUGGGCAUGCGUCCUAUUAGCUAGUUGGAGUGGUAACGGCACCCCAAGGCUACGAUAGGUAGGGGUCCUGAGAGGGAGAUCCCCCACACUGGUACUGAGACAGGGACCAGACUCCUACGGGAGGCAGCAGUGAGGAAUAUUGGUCAAUGGUCGGAAGACUGAACCAGCCAUGCCGCGUGCAGGAAGAAUGCCUUAUGGGUUGUAAACUGCUUUUAUUUGGGAAGAAUAAGGAGUAUCGUGUACUUUGAUGACGGUACCAUAUGAAUAAGCAUCGGCA